GCCAGAUGAAGAGAUACGUAGGGCAAGGCACAUGGGAAGAGGCACGGCGCUUCCAUGCCCUCUCAGGGCACACCAUCCUCCGGCAACCUCCUGUGUUCAGGUGAUCACAGCUGGAGGAAGAUCACUAAGCAGAGCCGAAGCACUUAAGAGUGAGGGUCACCCAGCUGCUACCAUCAAUUGGCGAUCCCAGGAAGGAUGACCUGGCUGCCAUCUCUUGGCUGAGAUCUCGGCUCCAGGGAGGAGAGCUCCCUGGAGAGUGAAUGCCACCGCCAGGCACGGUCCGUGGACCAGCACUGCAGCCUCCUGGGUGGUCUGCUUGUCUUCCCAUGCACAGGGGACGCAAUGAGUUGUAGGCUUUGUUACCAACAGGUAGAAUGAAUGGCAGAAGGCCUCACUGCACGCAGCAGGUGUGAGUGAAGCCGCGAAGACUGAAACUGCAUGUCCAUGAAGUCCCACCCAAGGCUAAGCAACAAGGGGUUUUCUUCUGCUGAUGCUUCAGAACACAGGAGCCUCUAGGAGGCAGGGAACUCUUUCAGCCAGCUGAGCACACAGGACUUGUGAGCCUCGGACUGGCGUGGACCUGGAAACACCAUCUGGGAUCCAUCCUUGAGGUUAGUGCUUCUCAAACUACCUGGGGCUGAGCACAGUUUUCUUUGUUUCUAGCUACCAAUCCAUGCUGACCGUUGUAAAAUAUGCUAAAAAGUAACGUUAUUAGAAAUUUGACAAUACAAAAAAUACAAAAUGCAAGUCUGAGUUUUGCUCUAUCAGAUUCAAAAUCUGAAUCAAAAUCUGAUCAGAAAUCAAAAUUUCUGAAUGCUUAUUCUUCAUUUCUUUAUUUAGCUCUUUGUGGACAGUUAACAAACAGCCUUGAACUGCUCCGGCUACCACUAUCAUUAGAACUGCUCUGGGGAAAGCAUGCUGGCUUUGUUUUAAAGUUUUCAGAACACCGUCGACUUAAAAUGCUUCAUGUCUCCUAACUUAAGUAAGGAUUAUCAGCUUGACAUUUAAGGGAGUCCGCCACGUAGUCCUAAACUACAUUCCCUUCCUCCAUUCACUCAUUCUUUCAGUUGAUCAGUUAAUCAUUCUAUCCCUCCAAAUACUGACCAAGUGCCCACUCUACACCAAGCCCGCACCGGGUGGCAGGAUACAGUGGUGCACAGGACAGGUAAAGCCCACGGUAUAGUGAUUUCCCCAUCCACACCUGCAUCCAAACCAAAGCAGCUCUCAAACUCUGCACCUUUGUCACCCACUGGAUGUCUGACUCUCAUUUCCUAUGGCUCUGUUCGUGUCAGCUACUCCAUCUAUGAUCAGCUGUCAUUUAUCUGGCCCCUGCCGUGUUCCAGAUACUAUAAUAGGCACCCUACAUACAGUAUUCCUAAUUUUCCCCAAAACUCUACAGGAUCUUACUUACUAUCCCUCCUGCCACCAAACAACAUGGUUCUCCGGAAAGUUCCCUGAUUUUACAAUUAGAUGCAACCUCUUUUUCUUCUAAAGUGUAUCUCUGGACUUUUUUUCUUUUUCUUUCUUUUUUUUUUUCUUUUUGAGACAGGGUCUUGGUCUGUUGUUCAGGCUGGAACGUAGUAGCAUGAUCUCAGCUCACCGCAACCUCUGUCUCCCAGGCUCAAGCGAUCCUCCCACCCCGGCCUCCCAAGUAGGUGGGACAACAGGCCCAAGCCACCAACCUUGGCUAAUUUUUUUUUUUUGUAUUUUUCAUAGAGAUGGGGUUUUGCCAUUUGCCUAGGCUGGUGUUGAACUCCUGAGCUCGAGCCGUCUGCCCGCCUCGGUCUCCCUAAGUGCUGAGAUUAGAGUCAUGAACCACUGCGCCCAGCCUCUGCACUUAAAAACAAAAACAAAAAACCAACUUUUUUUAUUGAAGUGUAACAUACAUUUAGAAAAGUAAACAUAUUUGUACAGCUCAAUGAAUAUUCAGAAACUCAACACACCCAUGUAACCUGCACCUAGGUAAAAAAAUAGAACCCAACAGAACCCUGAACCCCUGCUCGUACCCCUUCCCAGUCCCUACCUCUAUCCCUCCCUAAGAAGAGUCACUAUCCUGCCAGGUGUGGUGGCUCAUGCCUGUAAUCCCAGCAUUUUGGGAAGC
rnacentral:lncRNA from 10 species